AUUGAACGCUGGCGGCAGGCCUAACACAUGCAAGUCGAGCGCGCGGCGGAAGGGUGAGUACUGUCUGGGAGACUGCCCGAUGGAGGGGGAUAACUACGGGAAAAGGUAGCUAAUAUCGCAUACCAUCAGAUGUGCCCAGAUGGGAUUAGCUCGGAGGUGGGGUAAUGGCUCACCUAGGCGACGAUCCCUAGCUGGUCUGAGAGGAUGACCCGCCACACGGGAACUGAGACACGGUCCAGACUCCUACGAGAGGCAGCAGUGGGGAAUAUUGCACAAUGGGCGCAAGCCUGAUACAGCCAUGCCGCGUGUAUGAAGAAGGCCUUCGGGUUGUAAAGUACUUUCAGCGAGGAGGCGUUACUCGCAGAAGAAGCACCGGCUAACUCCGUGCCAGCAGCCGCGGUAAUUC
rnacentral:rRNA from 1 species